UACGAAGGGUGCUAGCGUUGUUCGGAAUCACUGGGCGUAAAGCGCGCGUAGGCGGCUUAACAAGUCAGAGGUGAAAGCCUGGAGCUUAACUCCAGAAUUGCCUUUGAAACUGUUAAGCUAGAGUGUCGGAGGGGAUAGCGGAAUUGCUAAUGUAGAGGUGAAAUUCGUAGAUAUUAGCAGGAACACCGGUGGCGAAGGCGGCUAUCUGGACGACAACUGACGCUGAGGCGCGACAGCGUGGGGAUCAAACAGG
rnacentral:rRNA from 1 species